rnacentral:rRNA from 1 species
CAGCAGCCGCGGGAAUACGAAGGGUGCAAGCGUUAAUCGGAAUUACUGGGCGUAAAGCGUGCGCAGGCGGUGUUGUAAGACUGAUGUGAAAUCCCCGGGCUCAACCUGGGAACUGCAUUGGUGACUGCAACGCUGGAGUGCGGCAGAGGGGGAUGGAAUUCCGCGUGUAGCAGUGAAAUGCGUAGAUAUGCGGAGGAACACCGAUGGCGAAGGCAAUCCCCUGGGCCUGCACUGACGCUCAUGCACGAAAGCGUGGGGAGCAAACAGGAUUAGAUACCCCCGUAGUCCCUGUCUCUUAUAC